UUGAACGCUGGCGGCAUGCCUUACACAUGCAAGUCGAACGGCAGCACGGGUGCUUGCACCUGGUGGCGAGUGGCGAACGGGUGAGUAAUACAUCGGAACAUGUCCUGUAGUGGGGGAUAGCCCGGCGAAAGCCGGAUUAAUACCGCAUACGAUCUACGGAUGAAAGCGGGGGACCUUCGGGCCUCGCGCUAUAGGGUUGGCCGAUGGCUGAUUAGCUAGUUGGUGGGGUAAAGGCCUACCAAGGCGACGAUCAGUAGCUGGUCUGAGAGGACGACCAGCCACACUGGGACUGAGACACGGCCCAGACUCCUACGGGAGGCAGCAGUGGGGAAUUUUGGACAAUGGGCGAAAGCCUGAUCCAGCAAUGCCGCGUGUGUGAAGAAGGCCUUCGGGUUGUAAAGCACUUUUGUCCGGAAAGAAAUCCUUGGCUCUAAUACAGUCGGGGGAUGACGGUACCGGAAGAAUAAGCACCGGCUAACUACGUGCCAGCAGCCGCGGUAAUACGUAGGGUGCGAGCGUUAAUCGGAAUUACUGGGCGUAAAGCGUGCGCAGGCGGUUUGCUAAGACCGAUGUGAAAUCCCCGGGCUCAACCUGGGAACUGCAUUGGUGACUGGCAGGCUAGAGUAUGGCAGAGGGGGGUAGAAUUCCACGUGUAGCAGUGAAAUGCGUAGAGAUGUGGAGGAAUACCGAUGGCGAAGGCAGCCCCCUGGGCCAAUACUGACGCUCAUGCACGAAAGCGUGGGGAGCAAACAGGAUUAGAUACCCUGGUAGUCCACGCCCUAAACGAUGUCAACUAGUUGUUGGGGAUUCAUUUCCUUAGUAACGUAGCUAACGCGUGAAGUUGACCGCCUGGGGAGUACGGUCGCAAGAUUAAAACUCAAAGGAAUUGACGGGGACCCGCACAAGCGGUGGAUGAUGUGGAUUAAUUCGAUGCAACGCGAAAAACCUUACCUACCCUUGACAUGGUCGGAAUCCCGCUGAGAGGUGGGAGUGCUCGAAAGAGAACCGGCGCACAGGUGCUGCAUGGCUGUCGUCCGCUCGUGUCGUGAGAUGUUGGGUUAAGUCCCGCAACGAGCGCAACCCUUGUCCUUAGUUGCUACGCAAGAGCACUCUAAGGAGACUGCCGGUGACAAACCGGAGGAAGGUGGGGAUGACGUCAAGUCCUCAUGGCCCUUAUGGGUAGGGCUUCACACGUCAUACAAUGGUCGGAACAGAGGGUUGCCAACCCGCGAGGGGGAGCUAAUCCCAGAAAACCGAUCGUAGUCCGGAUUGCACUCUGCAACUCGAGUGCAUGAAGCUGGAAUCGCUAGUAAUCGCGGAUCAGCAUGCCGCGGUGAAUACGUUCCCGGGUCUUGUACACACCGCCC
rnacentral:rRNA from 1 species